rnacentral:rRNA from 1 species
UACGUAGGGUGCAAGCGUUAAUCGGAAUUACUGGGCGUAAAGCGUGCGCAGGCGGUUAUGCAAGACAGAGGUGAAAUCCCCGGGCUCAACCUGGGAACUGCCUUUGUGACUGCAUAGCUAGAGUACGGUAGAGGGGGAUGGAAUUCCGCGUGUAGCAGUGAAAUGCGUAGAGAUGUGGAGGAACACCGAUGGCGAAGGCAGCCCCCUGGGCUAACACUGACGCUCAUGCACGAAAGCGUGGGGAGCAAACAGG